rnacentral:rRNA from 1 species
AGAGUUUGAUCCUGGCUCAGAACGAACGCUGGCGGCAUGCCUAACUCAUGCAAGUCGAACGAGACCUUCGGGUCUAGUGGCGCACGGGUGCGUAANGCGUGGGAAUCUGCCCAGGGGUUCGGAAUAANUCAGGGAAACUUGAGCUAAUACCGAAUGAUGCCGCAAGGCCAAAGAUUUAUCGCCCGUGGAUGAGCCCGCGUCCGAUUAGCUAGUUGGUGGGGUAAAGGCCUACCAAGGCGACGAUCAGUAGCUGGUCUAAGAGGAUGAUCAGCCACACUGGGACUGAGACACGGCCCAGACUCUCUACGGGAGGCAGCAGUGGGGAAUUUUCCGCAAUGGGCGAAAGCCUGACGGAGCAACGCCGCGUGUGGGAGGACGGCCCUAGGGUUGUAAACCACUUUUCUCUGGGAAGAAG